GUGCUUGCUUUGGCAGCUCAUAUACUAACACUGGAAGAUACAGAGAAGAUUAGCAUGGCCCUUGCACAAGGAUGACACACAAAUUUGUGAAGUGUUCCAUCGAUUU
rnacentral:snRNA from 1 species